rnacentral:rRNA from 1 species
AGAAUCAACGCUGGCGGCGUGCCUAACACAUGCAAGUCGAACGAGAAAGUGGGAGCAAUCCCUGAGUAAAGUGGCGCACGGGUGAGUAACACGUGAAUCAUCUACCUCCGAGUGGGGAAUAACCUAGAGAAAUCUGGGCUAAUACCGCAUAACACUUACGAGUCAAAGCAGUAAUGCGCUUGGAGAGGAGUUCGCGGCAGAUUAGCUAGUUGGCGGGGUAAUGGCCCACCAAGGCGAUGAUCUGUAUCCGGCCUGAGAGGGCGCACGGACACACUGGAACUGAAACACGGUCCAGACUCCUACGGGAGGCAGCAGUGGGGAAUUUUGCGCAAUGGGGGAAACCCUGACGCAGCAACGCCGCGUGGAGGAUGACGCCCCUUGGGGUGUAAACUCCUUUCGAUCGGGAAGAUGAUGACGGUACCGAUAUAAGAGCCCCGGCUAACUUCGUGCCAGCAGCCGC